rnacentral:rRNA from 1 species
GUUCGCCGCUCGCGACUCGGCGAGAAGUCCAUNGAACCUUAUCAUUUAGAGGAAGGAGAAGUCGUAACAAGGUUUCCGUAGGUGAACCUGCGGAAGGAUCAUUG